rnacentral:snoRNA from 1 species
AAAGCAGGUCUGCAAUUGCAGCACUCCAUGUUGGUAGAGUGCUGUCAUUAACCCUGCUGAGAGAAUGUUGCUGUGGAGCUCCUGCUCCUCCUCACUGCUAGUGAGGAGGACGCUCUGAGGCUGAACACCU